rnacentral:rRNA from 1 species
GAUGAACGCUGGCGGCGUGCUUAACACAUGCAAGUCGAACGGGGGCGUGAUGUGCGAGAGGGAUAGUUUACUAGACUUCAAACUUUUCACGCCCUAGUGGCGGACGGGUGAGUAACGCGUGGGUAACCUGCCAUAUACAGGGGGAUAACACUUAGAAAUAGGUGCUAAUACCGCAUAAGCACACAGGGGCGCAUGCCCCGGUGUGAAAAACUCCGGUGGUAUAGGAGGGACCCGCGUCUGAUUAGCCAGUUGGCAGGGUAACGGCCUACCAAAGCGACGAUCAGUAGCCGGCCUGAGAGGGCGGACGGCCACAUUGGGACUGAGACACGGCCCAA